UUUGCUUUAUAACUUCCAUUUUUCCUGUCUGGGUUUCUCUCAUUCUCUUCUGCAGGAAAUGGAUCACUCCAGAAGCACAUUUAAACCCCCUUUGAAUCUGAUGUGCUCGCAAAUGGUACGAGCCCCAGUGUAGAAAAGCCAUUAACUCCAUAGUAAGAGCUCUCUCUCUCUCUCUCUCUCUCUCUCUCUCUCUCUCUCUUUCUCUCUCAUUUCGAGGGACUCUAGAGCAGAUGUGAGGAUGUUCAGAAUAUAAGACUGUAAUGACCCUGUUGAGAAGUCAGCAUCGCAGUCUUCAGUAGCGCACUUGUGCUGUCUUUAUUUAGACGAAAGCAUGACGGGAGUUUUGCGACCCUCCAAACAGAGAUCCGGUAUGAAGCGACCUCGAAAUGAGCCUUACAGGGUUUUCGACUAUCAACAUGCUCCAACUAUCCCGUGUGACUUUGCAUCUUUUCGACGGAUGUGUUCAUCACCCUCUUCGUCUUCUGCAGCCCUGCGGCAAAGCAGAGAAAAACCUCAGAGCAGACACAAGUCCAGGAGCAGAGGAAUCCAGCUAAGAAUGGAGGAGCUGGUGUGCAUUAAGAAAGAACUGACGGUGAUUAAAUCACAGAUAGAUGAGCUGCUGGACAGUCUGGAGCAGAUGGACCCUCAAAGCCAAGAGCUGUCCGGAGACGGUGUGGUGUUCUCUCCGCUCCAUGGCUCUGUGAGCAGUGCGGACGAUUCGUCUGGUAGCCCUCUUCCCCUGAGGACAGACAGAGACACACAGAGCCCACAGACUGCAGACAGCAGUGAUGAAGACAGAGAGCAUGUUAAUUACUAUGAAUCAGAUUUGCUCUACAUGUAAAGACAGUUUCAGAUUCCAAAUUCAGAUACCAAGUUUUGGGUAAAAGUCACAGGAUCUCUAAUGAUGAUGUAAAGAAAACGAUCAGGAAAUAUAUUUGGAUCAGUUCCAAAUAUCCAGAUCUGCUGAAAUUGUCAUCAUGUAAAGUGAACAUGAAUCCAGUUUGAAUCCAGUUGUGGAGCAGCCGUUUAUACACACCAGAAAAAAACUAUGUGUCAUCAAAAGCUGCUGAUGAUUUUAUGAAUUAUAUGAACACAAGCUGUUUUUUCCAUGAUUUCAGUCAGUAAAAUACUGAUACGACUCAAGAGCAGGAUAAAAUUACUGUAUAGCGUCCACACACUUGUUAUUGCAAAUAUCCUACAUAAGUUAUUUUAUGGUUCUACACAAGAGCUCAACUGAUAUGGGUUAUUAAAUUAUGCCAAUAAUGAUAUCUACAUCUAUAUCAACUGAUAGACCCUGGUAUAUUGAAAAAAUAGUUCAAUUAUGUAUAUUUAUGAGAUUUAAAAUGUACAUAAACACUUAUUUAAACCCAAAUGUCAUUCAAAUAACUGUUACAUAAUUCGUAAUUUUGGAAUUGGCACAAUGACUACCAUCUACCUCUGUUGUUAACUAGACAUGGUGUUUGGUCAGUGCAAGUGAUCUGUAAAUAUUUCCCCAUUAAUCACUCUGGCCAGUUUAGUUUUAUGACUAGAUUUACUGUAUGAUAGGAAUAUGUCUUUUUCUUCAUGUGAAAAUGUAAUCGAGGUCAUACACUUACUUUUGUUAUUUCUUUUUAAAUAAGUCAUAAAAUAGUGAUUUCCUGCUGAAUGUUUUUUUUUUUGUAAAUAUGUUUUUGUAAUAUAUUACUGUGAUUUAUGAAAAAUAUUGUGGAAUGCUGUUUUGUUUGUAUCACUUUGUCAGUUGCAUUGUGAAUGUAUCACUAACAGAAAUAAAAAAUGCAUUCAUGUACA
ensembl:lncRNA